ACUCAAAUGAAUAGACGGGGACUCGCACAAGCAGUGGAGCAUGUGGUUUAAUCCGAUACAACGCGUAGAACCUUACCAAGGCUUGACAUGUUCGGCAAAGUUAGGGAAACCUAACGGAGGUUAUCCGAACACAGGUGCUGCAUGGCCGUCGUCAGUUCGUGCCGUGAGGUGUAUGGUUAAGUCCUAUAACGAACGCAACCCUUGGGCUUAGUUACCAGCAUUAAGUUGGGGACUCUAAGUCGACUGCCCGAGUAAUCGGGAGGAAGGAAAGGAUGACGCCUGGUCGUCAUGGCCCUUAUGCCUUGGGCGACACACGUGCUACAAUGGCUAAGACAAAGGGAUGCCAACCCGCGAGGGGGAGCUAAUCCCAAAAAAUUAGCCUCAGUUCGGAUUGGAGGCUGCAACUCGCCUCCAUGAAGUCGGAAUUGCUAGUAAUCGUAAAUCAGCCAUGUUACGGUGAAUACGUUCUCGAGUCUUGUACACACCGCCCGU
rnacentral:rRNA from 1 species